rnacentral:lncRNA from 1 species
UUAGUGAAGUAAAAAUUAAUUGCUUUUUUCUUUUCUUUUUGUUGAUAGCUGAGGAAAUCAAGAAAUAACAAAGAAUCAGAAAGAUAGGAGAAGGUCAAGAGAAAACCUGAUAUCAAACUGGGACAUCAGCAACAGACUAUAGACCUGGGACUGCUGUAAUGUUUGUCUGGAAGGACUGCAAAGAGACUUGGGCUGAGUGAAAAUAAUUGCAUGCAAGCCAGAAGAGUAGGAAAAGGUUGUAAGCUCUGAAAGUUCUAUUAGUAAUGGCUGCCCAGGACUGUGGGAGUGCCUGAUCAGAGAUAAGGGCAAUCAAAUCACCUGGGAAGACAAGUAAAGAAAGAAUUGUCAGUCAGGCUUAAUUGAUUCUUAGUAAAGCACCCUUCCUGAGAUAUUACCUUCCAACAGGGUGUUAAGAAGAGGAAAAGAGCUUCUGAUGCUUAGACUGGAUUUGACCUUCCAAGAAGGUGAAUCACCUGAAAAAAAGGCAACCAAGCAGCUCAGAUAUUACUUCAUCUGAUGCCAAAGGGUGUGCUGAUUUUUCAUUUUUCACUCCAUUGGGCUUCCAAAUCAGUUGCUUGUUAACAUCAAAGGAAAUAAACUCCACUCUUUAAAAAUGGAAAAAAAAAUA